ACAUGCACACACACAUACACAAACACACACCCUGAAGAUAGUGACCAGAACUAAAAACGUAUGCCUGCUCUCCCAGCCCCUAGCCGUGUGGGGAGAGGAUCAGGGUGGGUUCUGCCUUACCAGGAGGACACUGUUUGGAACAAGAGGUUCCCCCCCUCACAAACUGCCAGCCUCCACUGGUGUCCUCCCUGUGUGGGACACGGCGAGAGACCUCAGGAGAGUGGGACGCUCAUCCUCGCCACGUGACACGGACCAGUGCUGACUCUUCAGCUCAAGAUCCCUGAUGCAGGCAGUGAGCUGGAGGGUACAAACCGGCAGGAUGGAACCUCCCAGAGUGGGGCAGCCCGGGAAGGAAGGGCACCUCUCCGGCUGGCUGAGACUGUCCUGGCUGCCUGAGAAAGAGCGUGGAGAGAGGGGAGGCUGAGGCUGAUGGGGAAAGAGCUGCCCUAAAGACGGGACCGAGGGAAGACAAGGCAGCUGCCCCUCUGUGAGGAGAGCUCAGGCACAGACGGGCCAAGGCCACACUGAAGAGCCACGAAGGCAACCCAGAACGGUUUGUGAGGCAGGCCUGCCGUCUGCCCAGGCCAGCACAGCAGAGACCCCACGGCACUGGAGGGCAUCCGGGCCAAACUCCCACCCAACCUGACUAGUUGCGUGCUGACUGCCUGUCCAACCACCGGAUGUGCGUGACAAAGGGCACAUGACAAGGAGGAAGAGGAUAGGGUAAGGCACCAGAACUGAGGAACCCCCACCUGCGGCUGCGUGGUACCCUCCCCGGGGCAGACCAACUCAGCCCCGGGCACACGGAGUGUGAAGGUGCCUCCUUCUCUCCCCUCCUCGUGCGGGUCACAGCAGCUUGCCUUCAUGGCCAAGACAGCAGUGCACAUUCACAGCCCAGCCCAGGGUCAACGUCAGCCUGCUCUUGGUUGUGAUAUGUUCACCGGAGCCUUGAUCCUCACGGUCUACAAUGCUGAUGACAUCACACUCACUGGAUCUGGUGAGUGAGAAGCGGCCGGGACCCCAGAAUCCCGGGUAAGAUACGCGUGUGCCACUGGGUGGGAACUGAGCCCGGUGAGGAUUCAGGGCCCAUGAGAUUUUAGGGGUCCAGUGAUUUAGGGCACAGCCUCUAAGUAAGUAAGUGCUUGCACCUUAAGCCUUCUACCGUUAAGACGGGGGCAGAAGUUUUGGUAGGCCUCCUUAGAUUUUGGAGACAACAGUUGGAAAUACUGCUCCCGGCUUCAGGUGGGGCCCAGAGCAGGACUCCGCAGCAAGGCUAGGCUUGGAUACAAGGUGUUGAAGCCCUUGUUCCAAGUGAUCAGCGGAGCCAAUGUCUAGAGGUAUUUAUGGACGUCAGGACACGGUAGAGUUUCUGGUACAUUCUGUGGGUGUCGCAGUACGGACCCUCAGUGUUCUCAGGCAACAUCGAGAAACUCUCAAAAGUUUUCCCACUUGAGGGGCGCCUGGGCGGCUCAAUCAGUCAAGUGCGACUUCAGUUCAGGUCGCGAUCUCAUAGUUCGUGAGUUCAAGCCCCACACGGGGCUCUCUGCUCUCAGCGCGGAGCCCACCUCGGAUCCUCCUCUCUCUCUGCCCCUCCCCCCCCACUCACAGGCUAUCUCUCUCACUCUCGCUCUCAAAAAUAAAUACACGUUUUUUUGAAAAAAGUGCUUUCCCGUUUGAAAAACAGUUUCUGGUGUGCUUUGGGAUAUUUUAUGGAUAGGCUGUGUGGCCAGACCAUCAAUAUGAGCUUGCUAUUACCAGGCCCACGGAGUCAUGACUGGAAAUCCAUCACGUGCCUCUUCCUUCUUAUGCUUGUGCUCUCAUAGAGGUUCUCUUGAGAAAUAAUACAAGAGGAGGACAUUCCAGCCUGAAAUUCACACACGUCAGCACAAUACGUUAGUGCCAGAAAUGGACUCUGCCGCAUCGUAGCCCCUCUGGCUGGCCCUGCAGGCAGUGAAGGGAAAUCCUCCUCUUAAUAGAAGAUCUGUGGGCACAACACGUAACCGUUCCAUUUAUAUGAAAUAUUCACAGACUCCAAGUCGGCAACGCAGAUGGCUUGCGUUGCUGAUCAGGACAUAAAAGGAGCAAGAUCAGAAAAGUAGAACCAAAAACUUGGGGAGAACAGGCGUGUGGCUGGCCUGCAAAAGAGGCCUGAUGCUUGAAGAUCCGUGUGUCUGGUGUUGACACACACUAGAAAGCGUCUCCUGCGAAGGAGGCACCGAGCCACUAGGGGGGCAGGAUGACGCAUCAGUGGAUCCCAGCCGGCCUCUGUCCUCCACAAGUCCAAGUCCACGGCUUAUACCAUUGUUCCAUGAACAGAGUGUCCAUGAGGAGAGGGAAGAAAGCACACAGGAGUCUCAGGGCGCGGCCUUCCCCUCAUCAAGCCCAAUGUGGUGACGGUCACUGCUGAGUGCCGAGCCUGCCAGCAGCACAGACCAAUGCCGAGUUUCUGGUACGGCACGGUGCCCUGGGGAGACCAGCCAGCCUCAUGGAGGCAGGCCGAUGACCUCAAACGCCCUCCACCUUGGAAGUAAAGUUAUUUAUCCUUACAGAAGUUUAUAGAUACUUUAGCAUGGUUUUUUUUUCCUUGUCUUCCCCGUGGCUUAGAGCUCCCAAUCUAUUGACCUACUGUCUGCAGAAGAUUAAGGAUGGCCACAAAUUCUUUGACACUCCUCCUAUCAAAAGGGAAGCCAGCCAACACAUAGAUAUCCAACCACCCUGGGACUGCCAUGCUGUGAGGAAGCCCAAGCUGGCCUCAGGUAGGGGCUGCAUGGGAAGUGAGAUCCACCUGCAGCCCCAGCGGUUACAGCCAUUUCAGGGAAGAAGGCUUCAGAUGGGCAGCCACCAUAUGACUGCAACCAUAAGAAGGACCAACUGAGACCCACUACCUUACCCUGCCAACCCCAGGAAAGUAAAUCAUAAUAAAUUGUAGGUUUUAGGCCACUCAGUUUCUAGGUGGUUUGUUAUGCUGUAUUACACAAUCGAAACAGUAUUCCAUACAACAUUUUUUUGUGCCAAGAGACCUAUGUCAAAGUAAAGAAGGCAUGAAGGUUGGCACAUGACCAUGGGAUUCACUAAUGUCACCCGGGACCCCAUCACCCAGAAGCAGCCAACCUAGUAAGAACGACAGAAAGGCUUGUUAAUGGCUGAGCUAAGGGGCCCACUCUGGGCCAGAACCUCUCAGGAUUCGGUCACUGUCCCCCAGGAUCCAGGGUUUGUACUGAAGCCAUGGUCAGUUAGUGGCCCUGGGUCACGAGGGCCUCAAAGACAAGCUCCAGGAACCACAGAGAAGCAAGUGUGCCCCAUCACCACUGUCGUCAGUGAGCAUGAUCAGCGCUUCCUUCCUGCCAGUGCUGUUAUAGGCUGUGCUGGGUUGGGAGUCCCGAUUCCCUGGCUAGAGCUGGGGAACGUUUCUGUCCGUAUCUCUGCUCCGCUGGAAGCCGUGACUACCAUACAGCCGCCUGAGGCUUCCCACGCCACUGGACAAGCAAGCAAAGAAUAGACUUACUGUAUAGGAGGGGCAAUCAACCCCAAAUACCCUGAAGGGCUAGGUUUGCUGAUACUCACUGGGGACAGGGAGGGAAACAUCUGGAACUGACAGGUUCGCUGGGACAUUUUAGUCUGUGCCAAGGAUAAGCUACGAACAGACAAUUGCAGCAAUCAUGACCCCUCCAGGGCAAGGCAACCAAGGGUUCCAUUCCUCAGGACAAACAAAUCCGACUGGCCACACUUCUAGCUGAAGGAGACCAAUCCAGAAAGGGGGGUGGAGGAAGGAGAGGACGGGUAUUGAUUUCAGCCCUGGGACCGUUUGCAGUGGCAGGGACCAGUGCUUGGCUUGACAACCUUUUUUCUAAACUUUUAGUAGAUUGCAGCUAGAUAGCAUCUUAAAGAAUCCUAACUGCACCGCCCUCAGGAAAUAAGCAAGGACGUGCCUCCUCGGGACGGGUGUGCGGGGACACGCCAUAAAGGACUCAGGUACGGUCCGUCAGAUGGCCCGGCUGCACCGCAGGCCCCAGAGUCCCCCGGGGCGGCCGUUUCCAGUGCGGCAUGCGAGUGUGAAUGACACCACAGAGCCUUCCUCAAGUUCACCACGA